CUAUAUCUACUCAUCGCAGUAUUUAUUAAGAUCGUCAUUCUAAACAUAUCUUCAGUAACAUACUCAUGGCUUUUAGUUGCCCUGUUUAGCAGUGAAAAACGAAAAUGAGAAGUUAAUGGAUGAGGACAACAAUGAACAUCUAGUGAUGGUCGUACAAACCAAGAGAGCUAACUGUUUAUUGAGUGCACAAUAUGUUUCUGGAAUGACUAUCAUCAGGUACAAUCUAAGCCAAAGUUGAGAACUAUAGCAGACUAAAACCCAACAUUACUUCUACA